GCGAAUGAUAUCUAAAUUUCCAAAGCUAGUCAUAUAAAAUGAAUUAAAAAAUGUCUAUUUCCAAACAAAUAUCUAUUGGGAAUGUGUCCCAAUAUAUUCAUAUAUAUGUGCGGCCUUAUGACCAUUUCUAUAAAAAUAAAAUACAAAUUGGGAAUGUUUCUCCUGAUAAUACAUGUAUGUGCAGACCCUAUGACUAUUUCA
rnacentral:lncRNA from 1 species